rnacentral:rRNA from 1 species
GAACCUUACUAGGGUAAGACAUUAAGAUGAUUGACAGAUUGCUUGGUUUUUCUUGAUUUAAUGGGUGGUGGUGCAUGGCCGAUCUUAGUUGGUGGGGUGACUUGUCUGGUUAAUUUCGAUAACGAACGAGAUCCGAGCUGUUUAGUUGCGUGUACCUGUGCUUUAGCAGGUGACAUGUUUUUAAAUGGACCAUCAGAUUAAUCUGAAGGAAGUGACGGGCUAAAU